GAUGAACGCUGGCGGCGUGCCUAAUACAUGCAAGUCGAGCGAAUGGAUUAAGAGCUUGCUCUUAUGAAGUUAGCGGCGGACGGGUGAGUAACACGUGGGUAACCUGCCCAUAAGACUGGGAUAACUCCGGGAAACCGGGGCUAAUACCGGAUAACAUUUUGAACCGCAUGGUUCGAAAUUGAAAGGCGGCUUCAGCUGUCACUUAUGGAUGGACCCGCGUCGCAUUAGCUAGUUGGUGAGGUAACGGCUCACCAAGGCAACGAUGCGUAGCCGGCCUGAGAGGGUGAUCGGCCACCCUGGGACUGAGACACGGCCCAGACCCCUACGGGAGGCAGCAGUAGGGAAUCUUCCGCAAUGGACGAAAGUCUGACGGAGCAACGCCGCGUGAGUGAUGAAGGCUUUCGGGUCGUAAAACUCUGUUGUUAGGGAAGAACAAGUGCUAGUUGAAUAAGCUGGCACCUUGACGGUACCUAACCAGAAAGCCACGGCUAACUACGUGCAGCAGCCGCAGUAA
rnacentral:rRNA from 1 species